rnacentral:lncRNA from 1 species
GGCCACUUGACUUCGGACUUUUCAUCCUCCAGAAAUGUAAGAAAUAAAUUAUUUUUCUUUAUCAACUACCCAGAAUACUACCCAGUGGUAGUCUGUUAUAGCAACACAAAACAGACUGACACUCGCAGAAUUUCUACAAGAUCUUUUUAAUUUUGCUUCCAUUGCAAUUUCAUUUUGGCUUUUGACCCUUGCAUCUAGAAUAGGCUUGGCCUUGCUCCAGGGAACAUGCCAUCCUGGCCUGACAUACUUCACCUUCCCAACUUCUGUCUUCUUUGUCAACUACCCACUCCGAAGUAUCCCUGACUUGCCUCCCUUGUCUUUGUUUCUCCUAGUGUGUUUUGUUUUGCUUUUUGAUGCAUGGGCCAUGACAGAAAUCUACUGAGGUGAAGGGGAAUUGAGGAGAGACUCAUUGUUUUCAGCAAGAUGGGUAGUUAUUGAGGAGAAAUUAGAAAGCAUCAACUAACUGAAUGUGAUAGGAUCCACAUUCCCACCACACGAAAUGAGACAGAUUUUUAAAUAUGGCUAAGCAGUGUAAGUAUUCAGGCAAAGUCUGACAACUAAAUAUGUAGUGGGCUCUAAUUAGAUGCUUCUUCAUUUGUCUCUAGGAAAAGGACUGAAGAAAACAGACAGUGAGACUGAUCCAAAAACUCCCAUGUAUAUACAAACACAUGAAAAAUGUCACCAAAAUGUUAAUGGCAGUUACGUUACAGUUGCAUCAGGGAUGGGCUUUCAGCGGUGAAGGAAACUCAUGUUGACUGAACACCUUCCCUGGGAUGUGUGGGCUCUUGGAUGAGAACUUUCACAUUUUUCACAAUUUUUAUGUCCACCACCACCCUGUGAGGUAGGUAUCAUUAUUCCCAUUUCACAGAUGAGGAAAGCUGAGGCUCAAAAAUUGAGUCAUUGGUCUAAGAUGUACAGGGUCUAGCAGAGUGCUCGAUAAGUAAUUGUUGAAUGGAUGGACUGCACAGAUCAUGCUCUCCAAUUGGUUGUAUACUUGUGUGAUGCUUUUCCCCAGAGGUCUUUUUACUGUUAAGAGGAUUCUUAUAUAGUUAAGUCUUGGAUCAGUCAUAACUUCCAAAAAUGUGACAGUAAUGAAAAAUGCAAAAAGUGGCUGGACAAGGAAAUGCCUGUGCUACCUUAUUUACCCCAAACAGAAAAGCUACUUAAAAGAUUAUGACUGAUUGGGAAAUGUGAUUUGGUUGGACAAAAGCACUUGAAGCUCUAGUCCCUAACAAUUCCAUCCAGGACCUCCCUGAGAGUCAGAAUUGAUGUGUGGAUUGUUUUAGUUUGGCUGUUAAUAAUAUCUGGAUGAAAAUGCCUGCCAAAACAUUUCACUGGGGGAUUUAGAAUAUGCUUUCCAAGUCUACAACUGAAG